ACAUGGGGGACGUUCUGUACUUGUGGCCUACCGCCCAUCUACGCCACAUGGCAAUCGCUGUACACAAGCUUCAUGAAGUGGGUGGGACGUAAGCGAUAGCAGCGUUUAAGUCGCAUAAUACAUAAACAAAUCAAUAUAACCCAAGAAAACUAUUAUAGCUUGACAGUAACGGAAAAUGGUGCCCGGCAGCGCCGGUCAGCAUUGCGUCUUCGUAGCUUAUUUGUUUCGGUAAUUCUAAUUGCACGUGUGAGUAUGAAGAUUAACCUAACAAAAACAAACAACCAAAAAAAAAAAAAAAGUACGGCAUGCGAUAUAAGCCUACACAAAAUGUAAUUGUAUUGCUAACUUAAUUUUGGUGGUGUAACCCAACGAUCGCGCAACACUGGUUAAAAUCUGUUUAUUUUCGUUUAAACGUUAACUCGUAAAUCAUAAAGGUUUUCAGCAGGAGGAUGGUGAAUAAAGCGUGCUCUGCAUUAAUUAAAUACAAUACCAGAGGUCCCCUCCCUGCUGAACAGGCGCCCCGACCAACCAGUAGGAGUCGCUAAUGCAACAAUCAAGACUCAUCCCCUCACCGGCUUCCCACCCGCAAACACUGCCAAUUGUGUUCGUAGGAACGUCUGACCAAGCUGGAAGUAUCACUGCCGGGGAUUAAACCCGGGUCUCUGCGUUGGUAGGUCAUCUUGUCUCCAAGCAUAUCAACAUUUUUUCCCCCAUUGAAUUAUCCUAUCAUUGCAUUUAUAUUGCACCUUUCAUGGAUCUCAAAGCAAUUUGAAUUGGAGAAAGAGGAAAGCUUUGUGCGCUGGAGGAGGAGGGGUAAGUAAUUCAGCUGUGGGUAUGAUUGAGUGUGUUCAUACAACAGAGAACAUGUGACCUUUUGCAAUAACAAAAUGUGUUAACAGACCCCCUGCUUUUUCCAGCAGCAUCUAGAAAGUAAGGCAAGGAGCUUGUUUGCUGGACAGGAACCUAAAUCUGGGUCUCCUGCUCUACAAGGCAAGCAACUUCACCACAUUGCCAAACCAACACACCAAAGGCUGGGCCAUGUAGAAAGAGAAAACAAUAGGCACAAGGAAAUCUAGUUAAAGAUGGUGAUGAUAUUUUGACGUGUUUUAUUUCCAGAAUCCUAAUUCAUCAAUAAUGCAAGCACAAUUUCCAUUCUAAAAUGUGCUUUGUAUAACCCAGAUACAUUUAUGUGAUUCAAAGAUUUUUAUGGACCAGAGCGGUCAAGCUUUUGGGUUCUUAUUGCUUAUGGUUGGAUUAUUAGGGGGCAAACAUAAUCACUAUAUUGUACUCAUUGAGGUUAUUAGGUAGCAAAGCCCUGAAGGCUGCUGUUACUAAAUAUACUACUCCUGGACAAAUGUUGCCAUGUAAUUAAUCUGUAAGUACUUAAGUUUUGGGUUUGAGUUCCCUCAAAAGCUCACAAAAAACACAUAUUUCUAAAGCUCUUAUAAAUAUUUUCAAAGGUGGCAUAAAAUAAUUAAGCCUUAUGUUUAAGAACAGGAACAUUUUUUAGCACCUUUGCAUUGUUGGGCCUCAAAGUGAUUUUCCUGUUAAUGCUUAGAGGUUUAUUCAAUGCUGAUUACCUGUGGUUUGCUGUUGUAAACCAUAUUGCUCAAUCGUGAACAAAGUUCAGCAUCUGACUUUCAAUCCCAGGGUUCAGGGUUUAAGUCCAGCUAGCCUUGUUGCAUGUUUUUAAACUGUAGAAUGAAAACAUUAAACUCUUAAUGGAAAAACUUGUUAAUCAGGUGUAAACAUCUUUGUAAAUGCAUUAUUUUUGUUUACUGAUGUUUUCGGAAUGGCCUCCUUUAUCACUGAUUGCAACUUUAUUUUAAGAUCAAGGAGGGUGAACAACUCUGGAGCGAUCUUUAAUGUGAAUAUCUAGAAAACUAAUUACAUUUCCGUGAAACUAUCUGUAUGGACAGAAACUGGUAAGUGGAAACAUGCCUUAAUUUCAUUUUUGGGUGAACUGCCCCUUUAAAAGAGGACAUCAUCCAUGAAAUGAGACAGUCAAGACUUUUUUCAACCAAAUGUUAUUUUGCCUGCGAUAGAUUGGUGGCCUGUCCACGGUGUAUUCCUGCCUCUUGCCCAAUGCACGCUGGGAUAGGCUCCAGCACCCCUGCCACCCUGCCCAUGAUAAGCGGAUAUAGAUAAUGGAUGGAUGGAUGUUUCUUUGCAAAGUUUUAAAUAUUAUCUUUCAUUACUUAUACAUGGUACAAUUAAUUUAUCAAACAAAUAUCACUAGUAUAUAUAACCUAUUUCUUGAAAUUAAGAUGAAAAUCUUAAACUGUCAACUGAAUGUAGCUCCAAGUUCUUCAAUAAAUAAAUAUUCACCAGUAGAAGGACACUUCUGUUCAAAUGUUAAUGUAUUUUAUGCACCUUUAUUGAAUGUAUGGAAACAUUCACUUCUGCAUUAAAGAACAUAAUUGGCAAA